rnacentral:rRNA from 1 species
UACGGGGGGGGCAAGCGUUGUUCGGAAUUACUGGGCGUAAAGGGCUCGUAGGCGGCCAACUAAGUCAGACGUGAAAUCCCUCGGCUUAACCGGGGAACUGCGUCUGAUACUGGAUGGCUCGAGUUUGGGAGAGGGAUGCGGAAUUCCAGGUGUAGCGGUGAAAUGCGUAGAUAUCUGGAGGAACACCGGUGGCGAAGGCGGCAUCCUGGACCAACACUGACGCUGAGGCGCGAAAGCGUGGGGAGCAAACAGG